rnacentral:rRNA from 1 species
CCUACGGGAGGCAGCAGUGAGGAAUAUUGGUCAAUGGGCGCGAGCCUGAACCAGCCAAGUCGCGUGAGGGAUGAAGGUUCUAUGGAUCGUAAACCUCUUUUAUACGGGAAUAAACUCUGGGACGUGUCUUAUUCUGUAUGUACCUUAUGAAUAAGGAUCGGCUAACUCCGUGCCAGCAGCCGCGGUAAUACGGAGGAUCCGAGCGUUAUCCGGAUUUAUUGGGUUUAAAGGGUGCGUAGACGGUCGUGUAAGUCAGCGGUGAAAGUCUGUGGCUCAACCAUGGAAUUGCCGUUGAUACUGGGGGGCUUGAGAAUAUUUGCGGCAGGCGGAAUGUGUGGGGUAGCGGUGAAAUGCUUAGAGAUCACGCAGAACCCCGAUUGCGAAGGCAGCCUGCCAAGCCAUGACUGACGCUGAGGCACGAAAGCGUGGGGAUCAAACAGGAUUAGAUACCCGGGUAGUC